rnacentral:rRNA from 1 species
GACAGAGGGUGCAAACGUUGUUCGGAAUUACUGGGCGUAAAGCGUGUGUAGGCGGCCACGUAAGUCGGAUGUGAAAGCCCCAGGCUCAACCUGGGAAGUGCACUCGAUACUGCGUGGCUUGAGUAUCGGAGAGGUUGGCGGAAUUCUCGGUGUAGAGGUGAAAUUCGUAGAUAUCGAGAGGAACACCGGUGGCGAAGGCGGCCAACUGGACGAAUACUGACGCUGAGACACGAAAGCGUGGGGAGCAAACAGG